GUAGGGAAUAUUGCACAAUGGGGGAAACCCUGAUGCAGCGACGCCGCGUGAGUGAUGAAGGCCUUCGGGUCGUAAAGCUCUGUCGUAUGGGACUAACAAAAUGAAGGUACCAUGCAAGAAAGGAUCGGCUAACUUCGUGCCAGCAGCCGCGGUAAGACGAGGGAUCCUAGCGUUGUUCGGAAUUAUUGGGCGUAAAGCGGGUGUAGGCGGGCCUGUCAGUCAGGUGUGAAAUCCCAGGGCUUAACCCUGGAAGUUCACUUGAUACUGCAGGUCUUGAGUGUGGUAGAGGCUAUUAGAAUUCUUGGUGUAGUGGUGAAAUACGUAGAUAUCAAGAGGAAUACCGGAGGCGAAGGCGGAUAGCUGGGCCAACACUGACGCUGAGACCCGAAAGCGUGGGGAUCAAACAGGAUUAGAAACCCCAGUAGUCC
rnacentral:rRNA from 1 species